rnacentral:rRNA from 1 species
UACAGGGGGUGCUAGCGUUGUUCGGAAUUACUGGGCGUAAAGGGCGCGUAGGCGGUCUGAUAAGUCAGGAGUGAAAUCCCGGAGCUUAACUUCGGAAUUGCUUUUGAAACUAUUAGGCUAGAGUAUGUUAGAGGAAAUCGGAAUUCCUAGUGUAGAAGUGAAAUUCGUAGAUAUUAGGAAGAACACCGGUGGCGAAGGCGGAUUUCUGGGACAUAACUGACGCUGAGGCGCGAAAGCGUGGGGAUCAAACAGG